GUGAGUGAAUUAGGAGCUGAAGCAGUAAAGUAGCUUUCCCUGUGACCCUGAUGUGUCGGGCAUUUCUGUCUUAGACUAAAAGCAUAAUAAAAAAGGCACUUUGUUUAGGUUAACAGAGCAUUAUAUAACUGGAAAGUUUUACAGUUUUAUAUAUAUAGUGAAUAGUUUGUAGAGGAUAAAAAGACUUCCCUUUGGUUUAUUAUUUGGGUAAAAUAAAAACCCACGAAUCAUUUAAGGAUGCAUUUCUUUUUCUUUUUUCUGCCUUUUUUUUUUUAAGACAAAAGCUUGAAGGCAUAAAAUGGAGUUAUUUUCAUCGGGAUAUCACCCUCGAUGCUGCUGCUUUACUACAUGUUCAUAGUCAAAAUUAUUUCAUGUUUCCCUUGAAUAACUACGAUCAGUUUGAAAACAGCUUUGUUAAUUAGUAAGAGAUGACGCAAUAUAUCACUGCAUCUUUAGGGCUCUGGCGCCAGCUAGUGGUAGGAGAGGGGAGCCGCCCUGUCGCUCUCAAAUCUGGGAAGGCGUCGGUCUUCUCGCGUCCCCUUAUCCCUCAUCCUCCUCAUUUUUUUUUUCCAUCAGCAUAAUGGGGGAAUCAUUGCAGUGUGGCCAGAGAGGAGCAGACGAGAUUAUAGAUGAAAGUAGAGAAAAACGGUGGGCAGGGGCAGGGAGAGGAAAGGCCAGACAAAUGCAAUCAUUUCUCCAAAGGAUUUGAGAAGAGAUCAUUUAUUUGAAAUAUUCCUGCCAUGUUGAUGGAGCAGCUCAAUCUUUUGCCAGUGAAUCUUUAGCGUUUUGUUUUUCAUUUGUAGAUAUGGUUGAACAUAUACUUAGGACACGUAAUAACUAUGGAACUUCAUCACAAACACAGCACUGAGGACAUGUUCUGAAUACAGACAAUAUGGAGGCCUCAGGCUCAGAGGAUGGCAGAGUCUUCAGAUGGAUGGAGGGAGCUGCAGUCACUGAACCACUGCAGGGAGAGAAGUACUCACAGACCAGGAACGCUCAACUUGGACUGUUAUGUGACAGAAAGAACUUGAUGUAUACCUCCUGACCUGUUCAUCUUGUAGCUGCCUCUUGACAGGUGCCAAGAACUGUGAUUUGUGCUACAGAUACACAGUCUCCUUUCUCAAAGUGUUCUGAGUUCAGUUGGGUUGACAGGCAAGUGAACAGAACAGAUAUUUGCAGUAGGAGGAGAAUGAUAUACUAAAGGACUGCAACCUGGAACAAGGAGAGACAAAGGGAAGGAGGAGUCUGGAGCCAUAUUGAAGAUGAAAUUGAGAUAUGGACUAGGUGGUGGAUCGUUUUUAUAAGAGGACAUAAAAGAGGAUGCUAAAGCUAAUUGCCACAAUCAGAACUCAAAGACCUAGCAAAUGCAAGGUGGUAUUUAUUCUAAACUCAGCAAAGUAGUAGAAAAAUAGUUUUGAGAACAGUUUUAAGGAGACUAGGGUAACAGUGAGAAAAUAGUUCAUGGCUAGUCUGGACUUAGGACUUUAGGGUCGGCCUGGUGAAUUGAAGGGAAGCAGCUGAUACACUCUGGUUGCCUUGUACCCUGGCUUUUGGUGCUUUCCCAUGUGCUGUAGUCAUCAGUAAUCUGGAGGAAAUGCUAUAGAGGCAAAGACACCAUUAGAUGGGUGCUCAACUAGCAAACAGGAUGUGACCACAGAGUAGUUACCCCAAGACCAGGUCAGCAUGACCCAAAAGGCAGAAGAGGACAAGGUUUAUGAGUGUUGGGCUGAGCUCACGCCUGCUUGAACAUCUCAAGAACAAUGUUAAUGAUGGAAGAGAGAGAUAGGAGAGGAAACUCAUUAAACUUGCCAAAUAUGAGAUGUAGCUGGGUUGGCUCUAUGUAAGCAUGGCAGAAAAGCAUUUAGAAGUCAUAAUACAUUUAAAAUAAGAGCUACCAGCAUAGCAGUGACAUGAAGAAGGCAUGUGUUUUGUUAAAAAGUUUUAAAUACUCCUAUAAAAGAUAGUAAGGUACAAGUUGUUUGCUUGAUCAGCAAUGCUAAUUGCCUUUGAAGUGCAUGCCUGGGGAUUCCAUGGAGAGAGGACCCUGUUUCUCCACCCCAACCCAAAUUCACUGAGUUUAUGUCAGAAUGUUCAGAAGCCCCUUUACAAAUUCCUCUGAUUGCCUUGUUAGACACUGGCCACCUCCCUGAACCUGGGCCAAGAUGAGGGUCUACACCUUGGCUUAGUUCUACUAUGAAAGACUUUCCUGCAGUAAAAGUUACCUGUCUGAAACAUUCAGAAGAGUGAAAAUGCCACAUCUCCAAUUUCCAGCAAUAUAUUUGUCUGCCAUGAUUUGGCCUGGAAGCUUAAGCAGGAAGACCACUUGGAGCCAGACUUCAGAGUGAUCUGUCUCUAAGGAAUAACUUUCAUAUUGCAGCGUUCGGUUUUGCAAUUCUUCCUAAGCUACUCUAAAUUCGCAGCAUAAAUCUGCAGAAAGACUUCACCCUCCACAUCAAACCCUUAUAAGGAUCCAUUUCUGCUCUCAUUUUAGAAUAUCUUUUCUAAUAGCUAAAGGCAGACAGAGGCAAACCAAGAAAUCCAGACUUUGCAUCAACGGGUUAAAUCAUAUGUCAAAGGUGCAACCAUAACGUAUUACAAGCUUCUCAUCACAUAAUACAUCACUCAAGAAAAAAUAUUUGGGCAGCUUUUCUAAUUCAUCUUCCUGGUGUUAAAGGAGCACAUCUCCAGUGUUCGUGUCUUCUGUUUCAAUUAAAGCAAUCAUGCCUACUCUUUUAGGAAACUACUAAGGUUUAUUACCUCUUUGUUUCACUGCUAAUAUUCAGCUUCUCCUUGUGGUCUCCCCUUCCAAAUACAUAUUUUUUUCUUUCUAUCCGGUUUUGCUUCUCACCACAAUAUACACUUGUGGCUAUUGUUUGAUAAAAUGGCCACUAUAAAGAUGUAACUUGCUUAACAAAUAUCAGCAAGUGUUUAUGGUUUCCUGUGUACUUGAUGCACUGAGUGGGUGGAAGUGGGUAAGAGAAAGAUGAGGUGGUUCAUGUUCCCAGUAGGAAGAGAGAAUGUCAAUACUCAAAAUAGCUAGAAAACAAUUCACCAUCAGUAUUGAGACAGGCAUUUCAUUACUGUAUGGGUAAUAAUUAAGAAAUUUAAAAUAAAAACAUUGGCCCUCGU
rnacentral:lncRNA from 1 species